rnacentral:rRNA from 1 species
UGAAUACGAGACGCUAAGGCGUCGAAGUAGUGUAUGUCAUACUUCCAAGAAAAGCUUGCACUGUCAUAGAUAAAAAACGCCUGUACCAUAACCGACACAGGUGGGUAGGUAGAGUAUACUAAGGGGCGCGAGAUAACUCUCUCUAAGGAACUCGGCAAAAUAACUCCGUAACUUCGGGAGAAGGAGUGCCUUAUUCGUAAGGUUGCAAUAACAAGAUCCAAGCAACUGUUUAUCAAAAACACAGGUCUCCGCUAAGUCGUAAGACGAUGCAUGGGGGCUGACGCCUGCCCAGUGCCAGAAGGUUAAAGAAGUUGGUUAGCAAUUGCGAAGCUGAUAACUGAAGCCCUGGUGAACGGCGGCCGUAACAAUAACGGUCCUAAGGUAGCGAAAUUCCUUGUCGGGUAAGUUCCGACCCGCACGAAAGGCGUAAUGAUAUGGAUACUGUCUCGGAGAGGGGCUCGGUGAAAUAGACUUGUCUGUGAAGAUGCGGGCUACCUGCACCAGGACAGAAAGACCCUAUGAAGCUUUACUGUAACUUGAAAUUGAAAUUGGACUUUAUUCGCGCAGUACAGGUGGGAGGCGUUGAUUAUAAUCUUGUGGGAUUAUUGGAGCCAUCAGUGAGAUACCACUCUUGUAAUGUUAGAUUUCUAACUUUGAAUCAUUAUCUGGUCAAAGAACAGUUUCAGGCGGGCAGUUUGACUGGGGCGGUCGCCUCCUAAACGGUAACGGAGGCGUACAAAGGUUUCCUCUGAACGGUUAGAAAUCGUAUCUAGAGUGUAAAGGCAUAAGGAAGCUUGACUGUGAGACCUACAAGUCGAGCAGGGACGAAAGUCGGUCUUAGUGAUCUGACGGUACUGAGUGGAAAGGCCGUCACUCAACGGAUAAAAGUUACUCUAAGGAUAACAGGCUGAUCUCCCCCAAGAGUUCACAUCGACGGGGAGGUUUGGCACCUCGAUGUCGGCUCAUCGCAUCCUGGGGCGGUAGUACGUCCCAAGGGUUGGGCUGUUCGCCCAUGAAAGCGGUACGCGAGCUGGGUUCAGAACGUCGUGGGACAGUUCGGUCCAUAUCCGGUGUAGGCGUUAGAAUAUUGAGAGGAGCCUUCUUUAGUACGAGAGGACCGAGAAGGACAUACCUCUGGUGUACCAGUUAUCGUGCCAACGGUAAACGCUGGGUAGCUAUGUAUGGAGUGGAUAACCGCUGAAAGCAUCUAAGUGGGAAGCCCACCUCAAGAUAAGUAUUCUC